CCCGCAAAGCCUCAUGCAGUCCUAGGUGAGGUUUUUCAGAGUAACUGGAUCUAGAGUGUGUGAUGCUAGGACUGAUUCAUGGUGCAGUGCUAAGGUUAAGGAUGCUGGGAUUAAGGGUGUGAUAAAAUAGAAGGAACAGAAAGAAAGCUGCCAUUGUCACUGCUGGUCAGUUGCUUGCUAUUGCUGUCUUCUGCCCGCCAUGGACUGUUUCUCCUCUGUGAUGCCCCUUUGCCUUGGAACCAGCCAACUAUGAACUGAAACCUCUAUAAACUAUGAGUCAAAUAAACCUCUCCUCCCUUAACCUGUGGGUAUUGUCCAUUUUGUCUCAGCAAGGACAAAAAUCACUAAGAUAAUCAACUACUUAUCAAACUAUUCUAAGACUAGCUGGUUUAAUAUAAGUUUUUAAUAAUACCAUACCUGCUGUAAAGCUUUCAAAUCAAUUUUCUGACCUUCUAUCUUCGAAUAAAAUUCAUCCACGGCCUUAUUUAAAAAGAGAAAAAAACUAGCUUUAAAAAAAUAUGGUCUCUACUUCAAUUUGCAUACACAGAAUGUAGCCUACUUGUUUCAUAAUGCUAUUCAAAGAACUUGAACAGAUUUCCAGUAAAUUUAUUAUGCAGCUAAACAGUAUCAAAAAUCAAAUUUCAAGCUGGGGAUUUAACUCAGUGACACUGCACCUGCCUCCCAACAGCAAGGUCCUGAGUUCGAUCCCUGGUACCAAAAAAAAAUCAAAUUUCAGGGCGAGGGAUUUAGUUCAGUGGUACUGCACCUGCCUUACAAGUGCAAGGUCCUGAGUUUGAUCCCCA
rnacentral:lncRNA from 1 species